rnacentral:sRNA from 1 species
UCACGUAUUUCAAAGGGUUCUCAUCUGGUAAUGAAGCCUUUUGGAAUGUGUGAAUUUUUUAUUUAAACGUAAGCCAAUUAUGUGACAAAUAAAAAAGCUCCAUGUUAAAUAAACUAUUGGAGGUAUAUCCCCAUGCAACAAGGAACAGUAAAAUGGUUCAACGCUGAGAAAGGCUUUGGCUUCAUCGAAGUGGAAGGCGGCAACGACGUAUUCGUACACUUCAGCGCAAUCGUAGGCGACGGCUUCAAGACGCUGGACGAAGGCCAAGCCGUAGAAUUCAACGUAGUUCAAGGCAACCGCGGACCGCAAGCUGAGAACGUUGUAAAGCUGUAAGCUUCAUUUC